UCGGCCGCUCGAUAGAACGCCUCCUCCUCUUCCACCUCAGUCUUCCGCCCGUUCUAGGGUUUACGCGCGCCGCAUUGCCGCUAGGGCUUCGGACGAGCUCCCAGGAGAUGCUCCUCACUAGGUGGGUCCUUGUUCGAUUUGGUUCGAUGGUUGAAACACGUGGAUUUUGUGGUUGGUGGAAGGACGGAGUAUGACCGAGGCGUCAAGACUUUUCUCCGCUGAGGGAAGGUUGUCUCAGGUGGAAUGCGCCAUCAAGGUAAGAUCUUUCUUCAAUCUUACCUGAAAGUUUUGCUAAAUACGUCCGUAGGAAGAAAAGGUCCAUCUUUUAGGGGUUCGGAAUGCUUCAAUUUUUCAGUUGGGGUCGACUGCGAUCGCACUGAAGACGAAAGAGUGCGUCGUGCUCGCAGUUCAGUAGCGCAUCACUUCAGCUCUGUUGGCACGUUUUCACCUUUUCCUGUUGGUCUAACUAAAAGAAUUGGAAGUCUCAAACAGGGACUCUUCUUCAUUCUGAAAGUUCAUAUUACGUAUGUUGCAAGCUAAGUUUGAACUCUUUGGUCUGGAUCGGGAUGCAUCAACGAAUUACCUAUAAAAAUGUAGAAUCCUUUGAAGAAUAAGGAAUGAUAAAGCAUUGUAUGCCUGUGACAUUUAUGUGCCUAUAAAUCUGGUUUUGUGUGACUAUAUGUUCAUGUGCUAAGUGAAUCCAUAUUUGCCAAUGGCUGAGUGAUAAAAGGUUGUCAUGUGACACCUAAAUCUUCACUCUACUGAUGCUUGAGUCCCAGUGGUAAAAACAGACGGUGCAUUGAGCUCCAAUAAUAGUUAGAUGACACCUCACAAUGAAUGAAACUAUUGCAGCUAGGCUGCCAUAGGAUUAGUGGCAUUGGUCACAUUUACUUAAGUUGUGCUAUUCAAGAAAAAUAUGAGGCUGUGCAAGUUCACCUAUUGUUAGCAAGGUGCAAUCAGCUUUUGUUAAAAGCAUUUUCCUUAUGAUCUCUCGCAAAUUUGAUGAUUGGGGAAAUCUUUAUCAGAUACGUUUUUCUUGUAUCCUGGAUGUCAUUUAGAGAGGCCAUAUAACAACCAGUCAAUUGGAGGUUGAGGGUGGAAUUAUCUGUGUCCUGCUGGUUGAGUUUUAGUAGAAUUUGUGCUAGUCAAAUACUUUCAGUGAGCUGCUUGAUGAAUGUGGUCCAAUAGGAAGUGUCCUGUAUCCAGAUUGGGUUCUAUGUGUUCCUUACUGUUAUAAAAUUAAAAUUUGAAGCUUGUAUGUAAUCUUUGUAUGUCUCUGUUCCAAGCUAUUCGACUUUGUUUCACUACCUAUUGCAUUACAGAAACCAAGCAGUCUAGAAAAGGUUAUGGAGAUUGACGAGCACAUAAGAUGUGCUGAGUGGUUUGAUAGUGGAUGCCUGCACUCUUGUUGAGCAUGCACGUGUUGAAACCCAAGUGUUGUUCACAUAACACUUUUUUGAUAAUAAAGUAGUUCAUGUCUUAACUGCUCUUUACGAGAAGUAACUAGUUGGCCGAAUUUGUUUAGUUUAGGGAUAUCAACCGCUACUCUCCGAGUUACUAUUAGGCUUUGCACAAACAGCAAAUACAAUUAAAAUUUUAAAAUAUAUAAAUACUGUUGAAUUCAAACUUAACCUUAUUUGAGACUCUGGUCUAUUCCACUGUUCAAUAUUUGAGACAAGACCCUAAUAGUUUUGAAUUGCAUAAUCAAAUAGUGUAAGCAUACUGGUAGUAUGUAUAUGUCGACAGUUUCUUUUCAAGUAUAAGAUGAUUAUGUAUGCAAAAGUUCUUCAAUCAUGUUUUAGAGAUUGCAGCGCAUGUCAUGAAUGUCUUUUCAUCAAAAAAUGGCAUCCAUGAAUCCACGGUUGUGUUAAAUAAAACUGCAUUAUGUAAUUGGGAACCAUUACACAGUUGGAAAGGAUUCGUUGGUCAACCUUGUUACUGUGAAGGUGCUUCCCAUUAAUUCUGUCAAUGAGAAUGCAGUGUGUAUGAUUUUUUUUUUAAUGCAAUGAAUCUGUGUUUUCAUAUAUGAAUAAAUCAGUAUUCGAGUCAAUUACCACAAUUUGCAUUCCUACGUCUUCUGCUUGACCAUUCACCACUUAAAACUUUGUUGGUAAAUGAAGUUGUUACCUUUAUCUAUAGCAUCAUGCUCCUCCUUUUUUUCUUUUUGCUUAAAUAAGUAGCGCAUGCAGAUAUUUCACUGAUCCAUCUGGCACAUUUUUGGCAAUGCAAUGCAAAAGCUAUAGGUUCUGGUUCUGAAGGAGCGGAUAGUUGUUUGCAAGAGCAAUAUAACAAGGACCUAACUCUUCAACUAGCUGAAACGACAGCUCUUUCCAUACUGAAGCAAGUGAUGGAAGAAAAAGUAACACCAAACAAUGUUGAUGUUGUGAAGGUGGCUCAUUUUUAUAUUAUUCUCCUUCCGAGGUGGAAGUUGUCAUCAAUCGGCUCAGAUACCUGACUUGAUUCCCUUGUAAUAUAAUUGGAUCUCUGAUGAAUUGGAUUGUGCAACUACCUCAACAAAUAGCCUUCCCAUUGGUUGGGGCAUUGUCGACUGGAAUAGUUUGUAUGGUAGCUUUGAGAUGAUCCAGCAAUUCAUGGAAUUGCUGAAAAAGGAAGAAAAAGGAAGCAUCCAAGCAAUCAACAUGUUAAGCUUGUUCUAGGUGAUACCUUCCUAAAUGCCAUGAUACAUCUUCAACCCAAUGCCUCUCCAUUUUCUCUUCCCCUUUCUCCUUUUCUAGAGAUCGUUUCUUUUCCAUGCUGAGAACAACAUCUCCAAAAGUGAUACAUUGCAUUUGGAUCAAAUGCCUUCUCUCUCAGAAUCAAAGUGCAUUCAACAAAGGUUACAUUCAAAUCACUGUACAUGGAAGAAAAAUACCUGGGUUCUUAUCUUCUCAUAUGGGUCAAACCCAUGGUUGAAUUCAUUGUACUUGCAACGACAGGUUUGUAGUGGUCAAAAAGAUCUUGUGCUCA